rnacentral:rRNA from 1 species
AAAGAGGUGACCGCGUGCCUAUUGAAGAAUGAGCCUGCGAGUUAAUUUAAAUAGCAUGGUUAAAGGAUAAAAGUUCUGGAGCCAGAGCGAAAGCGAGUCUGAAUAGGGCGACUUUGUUGUUUGGAUUAGACCCGAAACCGGGUGAGCUACCCAUGGCCAGGUUGAAGCCAAGAUAAUAUCUUGGUGAAGGACCGAACCCGUGUAAAGUGCAAAUUGCUGGGAUGAGUUGUGGGUAGAGGUAAAAUGCCAAUCGAACCCGGAGAUAGCUGGUUCUCUCCGAAAUGUAUUUAGGUACAGCGUUAAAUUAGUCUUAGGGAGGUAGAGCACUGGAUGGAUAAGGGGGCGUAAGCCUACCAAGUUCAACCAAACUCCGAAUGCCUUAAGAUGAUGUUUAGCAGUGAGACCGUGGGGGAUAAGCUCCAUUGUCAAAAGGGAAACAGCCCAGAUCACAAGCUAAGGUCCCUAAGUCUGAACUAAGUGGGAAAGGAAGUUAGAAUCCACAAACAGCCAGGAGGUUGGCUUAGAAGCAGCCAUCCUUUAAAGAAAGCGUAAUAGCUCACUGGUCGAGGUUUUUAGCGCCUAAAAUGUAACGGGGCUAAAGUUCAGCACCGAAGCUGUGAGUUUUCUAUUUUAAUAGAAAGCGGUAGGAGAGCGUUGUCAGUGCACUGAAGCUAAAAUGUGAGUUUUGGUGGAGCGCUGAGAAGUGAGAAUGCAGGCAUGAGUAGCGACAAUCGUGGUGAGAAUCCACGACACCGGAAGCCCAAGGUUUCCUACGCAAUGUUGAUCAUCGUAGGGUUAGUCGGGCCUAAGUGAAAGCGUAUAGCGAACACGAUGGAUAACGGGUCAAAAUUCCCGUACCAUUUGUAUUGUGUUUUAACGCAAAGGGGGGACGCAAGAAGGUAAGUAAAGCAUACCUAAUGGACAUGGUGUGUUUGUUUUUGUAGAUGAUGACCAGAUAGGUAAAUCCGUCUGGUAUUUUAGUUGAGGAAAACAAAAACUCGAGAGCUUAGCUCAAAGGAAUUUUGCUGAUCCUAUGUUGCCAAGAAAAUCCUCGUUGUAAAUAAUAUAAAUGACCGUACCGCAAACCGACACAGGUAGGCAGGGAUAAAAGUCCCAAGGUGAACGAAAGAACCUUCGUUAAGGAACUCGACAGAUUGACCCCGUAACUUAGGGAGAAGGGGUGCCUGUUAUUUGAUACUGAUUUACUUAGUAAAGGGUAAUAGGCCGCAGUGAAUCGGUCCAAGCGACUGUUUAUCAAAAACAUAGGUCUAUGCUAAACCGAAAGGUGAUGUAUAUGGGCUGACGCCUGCCCAGUGCCGGAAGGUUAAGAGGAGAGGUUAGGAUUUAUCCAAAGCUUUGAAUUGAAGCCCCGGUGAACGGCGGCCGUAACUAUAACGGUCCUAAGGUAGCGAAAUCCCUUGUCAGGUAAGUUCUGACCCGCACGAAUGGCGUAACGACUUGGACAUUGUCUCAACGAAGGACUCGGUGAAAUUGCAGGACCAGUGAAGAUGCUGGUUACCUACGACAGGACAAAAAGACCCCGUGGAGCUUUACUGCAGCUUGGCAGUGAUUUAGGCUUAUAAACAUGUAGGAUAGGCGGGAGACUUUGAAGCUUUAACGCUAGUUAGAGUGGAGUCGCCCUUGAAAUACCGCCUUUUUAUAAUCUUGGAUCUAACUUUAUUUUAAAUGAAGGACCCUGCCUGGUGGGCAGUUUGACUGGGGCGGUCGCCUCCCAAACAAUAACGGAGGCGCCCAAAGGUUCCCUCAAGGUGGAUUGGAAAUCACCUUUCGAGUGUAUUGGCAUAAGGGAGCUUGACUGUGAGACCUACAAGUCGAGCA